rnacentral:rRNA from 1 species
CCUACGGGCGGCAGCAGUGGGGAAUAUUGGACAAUGGGCGAAAGCCUGAUCCAGCCAUGCCGCGUGUGUGAAGAAGGCCUUCGGGUUGUAAAGCACUUUCAGUGGGGAAGAAAGCCUUGGGGCUAAUACCCUCGAGGAAGGACAUCACCCACAGAAGAAGCACCGGCUAACUCCGUGCCUGCAGCCGCGGUAAUACGGAGGGUGCGAGCGUUAAUCGGAAUUACUGGGCGUAAAGCGCGCGUAGGCGGUCUGAUAAGCCGGUUGUGAAAGCCCCGGGCUCAACCUGGGAACGGCAUCCGGAACUGUCAGGCUAGAGUGCAGGAGAGGAAGGUAGAAUUCCCGGUGUAGCGGUGAAAUGCGUAGAGAUCGGGAGGAAUACCAGUGGCGAAGGCGGCCUUCUGGACUGACACUGACGCUGAGGUGCGAAAGCGUGGGUAGCAAACAGGAUUAGAUACCUAGUAGUC